CAUAUAAUGAUUUCAAAUACAUUCUUUGAACUGUCAAAAACUAGUUUGCUCUCUCUCUGAUUGUGUCUGUAGCCUAUUUUUUAAAUUCAGAAGCAAGAUGGACUAAUGUAGUAUCUUGAAUCAGUAUUUACAUCUUAAGAAAUCUUAAAUUCUGCUUAUAUUCCUUUUACCAUAAUAAUUUGCACUUGCAUUUCAAUUUGGAUGCAGGAAGUUCACAGAUAGACUUGAGCACACAGUUUGUUAUUCACCACACUGUGUAGAUACGGAUUCUGAACUUAACUCAACUCCAAGAAGUUUGGGGAACCAUAAAUCUUUUAGGAGGCAGCUGCAAGAGCAAGAACAGGCCCUGGAACAUGAGAGGAGAAGCCUUGCACAACUGCAGUUUUCCUCAAAACCUUUAUCCAGCUCACCUCAUUUUGGUUUCUCCUUGGAUGAGACAAAAGUUUCAGAUGAUCACUUCAGUCUUCAGCCACCAGAAGAAUCUUUCCGUUUUCCACUGCAUGCCAAAUCCAUACAUACAGACGACAAUUUCUCUGAUGAGGAAAGCUAUCAAGGCCUCAACCUCCCAGACAGUCCAUUCGCGUUUCCAAUAGAUAGUGAGAUGUAAACAAAUCAUAGUUUCAGAUACAUAUACAAGAAAUAUAGAGUUCAAAUAGAUCAAGGCCCGAGGUAUCAGCUUUCUUUUGAUACACAAGACAAUUCUUGUGUUGAACUAUUUUCUCAACCAGUGCAGCAAUUUAGUCAAAAUUCCAGGUAGUGCAUACAUGCUGAAGAAGAGACAUUGGAAGGAGUUCCUCUUAACAAUUGAAAUUGGUGGCAUUAACAAAAAGUUAAUGAUACAUGUAAGAAGGUUAUAGCUUUUAAUUACAGACAGGAGCAGGUGGCAGAAGCUUUGAAUUUUAGAACAUAUAGUUAUAGUUAUGUUUUGUUUGAUGAAGUCAUUAGUGGAUGAAAAGAACUAGAUAUUUUGUUGUCCACAGUUUUUCUUAGCUUAAGAACCUUAGAAUCUGUCUAUGACUAAGGGAUGUAUUGACUGUGAACAACUUCAAUAAAGUUUUUUAUCCCUCAUA